rnacentral:rRNA from 1 species
CCUACGGGAGGCAGCAGUGGGGGAUAUUGCACAAUGGGGGGAACCCUGAUGCAGCGACGCCGCGUGGGUGAAGGAGUGCUUCGGCAUGUAAAGCCCUAUCGGCAGGGAAGAAGCAAGACGGUACCUGACUAAGAAGCCCCGGCUAACUACGUGCCAGCAGCCGCGGUAAUACGUAGGGGGCAAGCGUUAUCCGGAUUUACGGGGUGUAAAGGGAGCGUAGACGGCAGCGCAAGUCUGGAGUGAAAUCCCAUGGCUUAACCAUGGAACUGCUUUGGAAACUGUGCAGCUAGAGUGCAGGAGAGGUAAGCGGAAUUCCGGGUGGAGCGGUGAAAUGCGUAGAUAUUAGGAGGAACACCAGUGGCGAAGGCGGCUUACUGGACUGUAACUGACGUUGAGGCUCGAAAGCGUGGGGAGCAAACAGGAUUAGAUACCCCUGUAGUC